GGUUCAAUUGGGGAGUGGCUUGCCCCUGCAUCAUAUGUACAUGGAAUCUGAAGUAUAUGCAGGAGACGCCCGUUCGACUCGGGCUUGGACCA